rnacentral:rRNA from 1 species
UACGGGGGGAGCAAGCGUUGUUCGGAUUUACUGGGCGUAAAGGGCGCGUAGGCGGCCACCGCAAGUCAGUUGUGAAAUCUCUGGGCUUAACCCAGAAAGGUCAACUGAUACUGCGGGGCUAGAGUGCAGAAGGGGCAACUGGAAUUCUCGGUGUAGCGGUGAAAUGCGUAGAUAUCGAGAGGAACACCUGCGGCGAAGGCGGGUUGCUGGGCUGACACGUGACGCUGAAGCGCGAAAGCUAGGGGAGCGAACGGG